UACGGAGGGUGCAAGCGUUAUCCGGAUUCACUGGGCUUAAAGGGUGCGUAGGCGGGCCUGUAAGUCAGUGGUGAAAUCCUGGGGCUUAACCCCAGAACUGCCGUUGAUACUAUAGGUCUUGAAUGUUGUGGAGGUGAGCGGAAUAUGUCAUGUAGCGGUGAAAUGCUUAGAGAUGACAUAGAACACCAAUUGCGAAGGCAGCUCACUACGCAACGAUUGACGCUGAGGCACGAAAGCGUGGGGAUCAAACAGG
rnacentral:rRNA from 1 species